rnacentral:rRNA from 1 species
AUUGAACGCUGGCGGCAGGCUUAACACAUGCAAGUCGAGCGAGCGGCGGACGGGUGAGUAAUGUCUGGGAAACUGCCUGACGGAGGGGGAUAACUAAUGGAAACGGUAGAUAAAACCGCAUAACAUCAGAUGUGCCCAGAUGGGAUUAGCUAGUAGGUGGGGUAAUGGCUAACCUAGGCGACGAACCCUAGCGGGUCUGAGAGGAUGACCAGCCACACUGAAACUGAGACAAGGUCCAGACUCCUACGGGAGGCAGCAGUGGGGAAUAUUGCUCAAUGGGCGCAAGCCUGAUGCAGCCAUGCCGCGUGUGUGAAGAAGGCCUUCUGGUUGUAAAGCUCUUUCGGCGAGGAGGCGUUACUCACAAAUGAAGCACCGGCUAACUCCGUGCCAGCAGCCGCGGUAAUAC